AUCACUCUCUCCUUGCUCAUCCGAAUAUCUACUGUGUGGUCCCUAACAGGAAGCAGAGGCUCUGUAAAUGUGUAUUGGGUGAAUACGAAAGCUUCACAAAUUUCAAGGGUCAGCUUCCUUGCCGGCCAGGGAUAUAUACGCCCUCUGCAGAGCCCGGCUCCAACGCCUCUUGUAGAAAGAAGGACAUUCACCAGGACAUCUGCAGCGUCACAAAGGAUCCUGGCAGCGCGAGGCCUGCAGGCGGCCCUCCAUAAAGAAAUAUGUGCUUCUGCAACUCCUCAAAGUAGGAACUGCAGGGUGACUCUGCAUCAGCUGACUACAGGCAGAUUUCCAGGCUGGCUGGGGAAAAAAACCGCGGAGUUCGUCGCUGCGCGCAGCACCAAACCCUUCCCCAGAAGGGAGCAGCCUGGAGGCCGCAGGACGCACGCCCAAGGCGCCGGGGCCGCUCGGGACCGAUUAGAGCGCUCACACCCACAGGGUAUCUAUCCGGCGCGCUCCAGCACGGAAGCAGAGCGCGAGAACGCUCGAGACCGCGGCGCAGCCAAUCCCAGAGCCGCGCUCCCCAACGCCCGGCCGGAGGGCGGGGAGCGAGGGGGCUCGGCCAGGGCCACGCUUCCCAUUGGUUCAGGCGGCACCGCCCAGACAAAGCCCCCUAGUCCUCGUGCGACAGGCCAGCCUGGGCUCCUGCCCUGGCCAGUCCCGUGCCCACCACCACUCUGGCAUCCCCAGCCUGCCCCCGCGGCUCCUCCUCCUUCCCGGCCCCGUGGCCUGCCUGCUGUCCAGCAAUCUUCCCAAGGGCGCUGUAGCGCGGAGGGAGCACUCUCCGAACCCCGGGAACAGAGCCUCGCGGAGGACGCAGGAGGAGGAGGAGGGACGCGGACAGGACCUGGAGAUUCGGUCCGGAAGGAGACAGGGCCUAGAGCCCGGGCUAGAAGGCAGGACACCUGGCUUCGGUCUGGCCUCGGCCUUGGACUACGACGUGACCUUGAGAGGACGGUUCCUUCCCUUCGUGAGGCCUGGGUCCCCUUCAGUAAGAUGCGCCGGCAGGAAACUCUGAGUCAUUUCACCUGGGAGCUGCAGGGCCGCGUGUUUGAACUAGGGCCUCCUCCUGCCUGGCACAUUAUUCCGAAUAAUAAAUGCCAGAUCAUACUGCUGGAACCGCCGACCGAGAAGCCGAGAGGGAGGCGAGUGAGGACACCCUGA
rnacentral:lncRNA from 1 species